rfam:Ovis aries breed Texel chromosome 9, whole genome shotgun sequence.
UCCCUGGUGGCUUGGCUGGUAAAGUAUCUACCUGCAGAGCAGGAGGCCCGGGUUCAAUCCCUGGGUCGGGAA